UUGUUGAAUGGGUUGCAGAACUCAAUAAACGUUUACAAUGCCAAUGGAAACCCCCAAAUCUCCAAAGUUUCGAAUGCGGCACCGAAACAAAUGCACAUGGCUCCUCAGUCUCGCCUAUCUAAUGGGUCUUCUACAGGUACAAUCCUAACCCCAUUUGCUUGUAUUUGAGAAAAUUUGAUUGAAUUGAGAAUAUAGAUGAUGUUGAUUCGGGCAUCCGAGAGCUAAAAAGUACCAAUUGAACUUGUAGAUGCUUCAUUUAUGCAUAAAGAACCUAUUUGAACCCAUUGAUAAUCAAAUAACAGAAUUUUACAAAUCCGGAAGUUACUAUCUGUCACUUGGUGACUUGGCUGAGAACUUGAAUUUCCAUAUUACUGGAUAGCUGUUGUAUUAGGCCAGGAAAUAUGAAAGUAACAUUUCUUGAAGUUUAGUUGUGUUUAGUCUCAACAAAUUUAAUGAGGCAAAGAAGUUUAAAUGAAAUUUCACUGCAUUCAUUUGUUUUUGUGCCUUGUUUUCAUCAAUUUGUUUGUUGUUACCAAAUAAUUUGGAAAAGGGCAAUAAUUUCCGAAACAAGAAGAGGAAAAAAGCCUGGUAACAUGAAACCAUAAAUGUAGUACUUGGUAGGGAUGACAGUGAAGAUUAACCCAAGUUUACUCUUUGAUAACAUAUCAACGUAAGAACCAUGAAUUGGUGAAUCCAAAAUUGUUCUUGCAAUGAGUCACAUGAAUAUAAGAAAAUAGAGGGAUUGGUUACUAGUUAGUGAGACUUCCUGUAUAACAUAUGUAUAAAUGGUGAUUAUUGUAAUAGCUCAAAAUUUAGUCUUGACUUAAUCAACCCCGUUGUGAAUCUGUUAUCUCAAUGUUUAAAGCAAAUUAGCUAGUAUACUAGUUCCAUGCUUCCUGUCAACAUGGCUUGGAAAGACAAACUCCAAGACUGGUGUCAAACUUUCAUGUUAAAGCCUCUGCAAACCCAAAUGGGCCUGAUGGGUUUUCUUGGGUGAGUCUGGCUCGGUCUAUAUGCCGCAGUUCGGAGCAGUUCUGGUCCAAUUUUGGUGACUCGGUGAAGAAGGAAACUGGGUUUGAUUUGAAGGAGGUGAAUGUGAAGGUGGGGGAGUAUUUGGGGCAAGCUGGGGAAGGAUUAAAGAGAGGUGGGACUAAGUUGGAACGGUUUUGGACCGAGUUAGUGCCCGAGUUUGUGAGUUGGAAUCAGUGGGAAAGAUGGAAGGAUAUCAAGACAUGGGAACCUAAAAGAGUUGCUGCAUUGGUUUUCUAUGUUUUUAUUGCCGUAGUUUCGUGUCAAAGAAUAUAUGUAGCAAUUUGAGCUCCUAUCCAAGAUAGCCAGAGGAAAGAGUUGACAGAGGCUUAUAUGGAGGCAGUGAUUCCUGAGCCAUCUCCGAGUAAUGUUAGAAAGCUCCUUGUUUUGUAUUUGUGGACGAGAUUGAUGCUAUUGCUGGAAGGCAUGCAAGACAUGAUUCACGGAAUAGGAACUAUGGUGGCAAGGUAUGUAAUUUUUCCAGCAAAUGUCUAUUUUUUUUGUUUCAAUUUUUGUUUUUACAUUUCCGUUACAUCGGAGACUAUGGUGCUUUACAAUUUGUAUUUUUUUCUAUCUACAUAAUUUUUUUGUUCUUCUUUUUUCAUAUGUGGUGGCAAGGUAUGGAAUACUUCCCCAGAUGAGCAAAACCGCCUCAAAGCUCAAGUCUUUAACAACCCAUGUACUCCAUUUUCAAAAAGCAAGCUUCUUUACUGCAACAGUUGCAGAUCGUGAAGAAGAAUCACAAAACCCAAAGAGACCCAAGUAGAUGAUACAUUUUCAUGCAUCAUAUAUGUGCCAUGUUUUGGAACAAUAUAAAUACACACUUUUGAUGUCCCAAGUAGAUGGGCAUGUGCUAGAAUGCUUUUAUAGUUUAAAUGUUGGCUUGAAUGAUUGGGAAAUGCACCUCUUUUGCUUUUGAAGUUUAAAACAUUGGUUAGAUUACU